AUGACCUAGAUGACUUGGGACAGAUUGUGGCUACCUAAAUCUAUGGGUGGCAUGGGGUUUAAGGACAUGAGGGAUUUUAACUAGGCGUUGUUGGCCAAACAAGCUUGGUGCUUGAUAGACACGCCAGACAACCUCUGUGCAUGACUUAUAAAGGCCAGAUACUACCCUUCGGGACAGCUGUUGGAUACAGCUUUCUCAGGCAACGGUUCUUCAAUUUGGAAGGGUAUUUUACAUGGUAUCGACCUGCUAAAGAGAGGUGUUAUUUGGAGGGCUGGCAAUGGAGCGGAUAUUCGUACGUGGAGAGACCCUUGGAUCCCUUGCCUGUCGAUGUUUCACCCUAUUACACCCAAGGGUAACUGUCGUCUGAACCGGGUGGCAGAUAUUAUUGAUGACAAUGGUGCUUGGCGUGUCGAUCGCCUACGAGAAUUCUUUUGGCCUAUGGACGUGGAUUACAUACUAAGAUAUAAAAUGGAAGGCAAUGUUACCGACAGCAGGCUUAACAACCAUCAAAUAUUGCAAUUCAAAUUGGUAUUGUUGAAAAUGAACAGAACAUAG
rnacentral:rRNA from 1 species